rnacentral:rRNA from 1 species
AUGGUGGUGGUCUCGCGGGUGGCCGGCGGGCUGGUGCGUGCCCUCCUCUUGGGCGUCUUCGGGUCGGCCGGGACGGUGGUCGGCGCCGCGUACGGCCUCCUGUCAGGCUUCGUCGACGACGAGGACGGCUUCGCGCAGGGGACGCUGCUGGGGGCGCUCGCCGGGGCUCUCGUCUCCCUCGACCUCGCCCACUCCCUCCUCACCAUAUGGUGCCGCCGCCGCUCCUCCUCCUCCUGCACCGGGCGAAUCAAGCGCACCGUCGCCGCCGUUGUCGAGCUGACGACUCUCGCCGACCCGCAGUACUGUGGAAGACGAGAUGAUCGCGCCGUCGUGGGCCUCGACCGGCCGGCAAGAUCGUCCAGCUUCGGCUUCUUUCCGCCGGCGGCCGUCACUGAUGCAGGUGGCACUGGCGGCUGCUGCCCCAUCUGCCUCCAGGAGUUCGACGCCGGCGGCGAGCGCGAGGGGCGGCGGCUCCCGGCGUGCUCCCACGUCUUCCAUCUCGAGUGCAUCCGUAGCUGGCUCCUGCGCAAGCCCCACUGCCCCAUGUGCCGUCACGCCGUCCACUCACACGGCUGUUGA